GAGGUGGUGGUGGUGACCAAGGGCACGAUGGGAUGGGAGCCACUUGGUGGCCACCCAUCUCCCCCCACGCCCAGAGCCCCUGGGCACCGGUAGAGCGCAGUGUGGAAGCGGGCGGUCCUGCCCACCUCCUUGCUCAGGUCUGUUGAGGUUCGGGGGAGAAUGUCCAAGCGGCAGGGAGCUAGGAGCCACAGGGAGCCCUGGCCCUGGGAGGUCCCAGGCUCUGGUCCCCACACACCAGGUGGCCUUGAGGAUCCCGGUCUCCACAGACCUCUGGGCAGCCCUGGGGCCCAGCAGCAGCCUCUCUGAUUAGACCUGGAGGUCAGCAGGUCACAUUUGGCCCUGUCCCCCCUGUGUGCCCGCAGAAGGCCCUGUGAAGGAGGGGAGAGGGAACCACCUGUCCCCUUGAAGGACCCGCGUAGUCCGAGAGAGCUCAUUCCCUUGCCGGUCCCCAAAGCCUCACCCUCCGGGUUUCCUAGACUGCUGAUUGUUUCCUGCACCCCAUGCCAGGCCCAGAGGACAGGAAGUGAUGGAGGGAAUCAGCGUGCCACAGUGUGUGACCGUGGGUGAUGAAACUGGAUGUGUGUGAGAGGCUGGAGCGGGACCGUGUGGGUGGAUGGCGUGGGAGAGGAGCCCUGGUGUGUGUGACCGCACGCGAGGCUGGACGUGGGCGUGAGAGAAGCUGUCUGUGACUGUGAGGUCCGGUGUGUGAGCCUGAUAGGGUGAGUUCAGAAGAGGGCCGGCCAUGUGUCUUCCGUGUGUCCUUCUGGGUGUGUUUGUGAGGGACUGCCUGGUGGCAUUCCAUGUGAGGGCAUCACACUGGCCGGGUGCCUGCGGACGACACUGCUUUGUGCGAGGGACCCUGUGAUUGUGUGACACUGCCCGUAUCAGAGGCAGAACGAGUGACAUCGUGCAACGCAUGGUGCUGUGGUGACAACUCCUGAUGUGUGUGUGAAACCGUUUGUGCGGUGGCCUCAAGACUGACUCUGUGUGACACCAGGUGUGAGUGAAACCACAGGACUGUGACAGUGUGACACGCAUCAGGGCAUGGUGGGCAGGCUGAGCACCCGUGGUGAGGAGCUGUGAGUGCUGUGUGCAGGAGACACGGACCCCGAGAAGGCCUCCCCUAGUUGUGCAGCUGUGUGUGCAAGAAGGGAGCCGUGGGUGUGACAGGCUGGCUGUGUGGGUGGUCACUGCAUCAGCACGGGUGGGUGGCAUCCACAGGGGCUGUGCCAGGCAGGGCGUGGGACACUGCCACACGUGGCAGGCCUGGGGCCCCGCGCGGGGCAUCUGUGUGGAUGAUCACAAACAACGAUAGUGUGAAAAACAGAAUGUGCUCAGCUGCACACAGAAAAGUGGUUUGAGUGGCAAAUUUUAUGUAUAUCUUACCACAAUACAAUUAAGAAAAAAACACCAACCAGAAGAAGCCAGGAAAGAGGUGCGGGGUGGUGGCUGUGGCCUUGUGUGGCACAGGGCCGGCCACAGGAGCAGCAUAGAGGAAGUGUGUUCAUGUGGGGUUUUGUUGUUUUUUGGGUUUUUUUUUGGUACCGGGGAUCAAACUCGGGACCUUGCGCUUAUGAGGCAGGCGGUGGAACCACUGAGCUAAAUCCCCGGCCCCAGGAAGUGUGUUCAUAGAGGACACUGUGACCCUUUUGGUGGGCAGAGUGGCCGGAGGGGCUGGUGGCAGCGCAGUGGGUGACCAGGGGACCUGGAGGGGGCCUGAGAUGGCGCCCAUCAACAUGCUAAGUAAGAACCGGGGCCCUAGCCUGGCCCCCGCUGGGGACGUGGGAGCCCCUCCCUGGCAGUGGGAUGAGAGGCCCAGAGGACCAGACCCUCCGGAGAGGGCCUGACCCCUUCCCUUGCUGCUCUGGGAGGGGCAGCAGCGGGUAAGACUUGGGGAAGAGAGCCUGGGGGGGGCAGUCCCGCCCCCCCACAGCUCCCGAGAAAGCCCUCACCCCAGUGGUGCUGAGGGGUGACUCUCUUCCCAAAUUGGAAGCACGUGAAUGAGCCCAGCGGGAUGCGCCCUCUCACCCCCAUGGGCUCUGCAAAUUGCUUCCUCCUGUGGAAAUCUUCAUCCUCCUCCCCAGCCUGGCAGGGUGUGGCCCCUUGGCAGGGUCCCCUGGGGUCCUUGGGCUGGAGGUGGGGGAGACAGACACCAUCCCCACCCCCUCUCCGAGCCCAGAAUGGGCCGACCGGCCGGCCGCUUCCAGGGUAGGAGCCUCUGGCAGCUGGAGAACAGCUGGCGGGUGGCAGGCAGCGGGAGGGAGGCUGGGGGGUGGGGAGGCUGCAGGCCUCCUCUUUCCCCAUCCUUCACCCCAUGGCUCGGUGCCCAGGGCAGGCCCGGGAUGCCCAGGGGACUGUGGGGUUCUCUGUCUUCCUGCCACCUUGAGCAGUACCGCCUCAAAGCCGGAGCACCUGGGCCAGGGUCCCUGCAGGGGUGGGUGGUAGCUGCCUGCAGGGCCUGAUAAGGCCCCAGUUCAGCCUUGGCUCCCCAUGGGGCUGCAGAGGUGCCGCCUGCCAGGUCACCUUGUCCCAUCUAUGUCCCCCACUGUGGCAGCUGCUCAGGGGAACCCCACACUUCAGGUUGGUGCCCCAUCCCCCUCAAAAGGGAGCUCUGGGGCUGGGUGGUCUGGAGUCUGGGGCCUCUGGGGUCUGGGGGGCCAGGACCUCUGUAGCAGCCCCCAACUCUGGCCUCCAUUCCUGGAGCCAUCUGGCCAGUUCUGCCAGCAGACCCGGGGGGGGGGCAGCGAGGCACCCCGUAUCUCCCCAGAGCUCGGCCUGCUCUCCCAGCCUUCCGAGACCCUGACCCUGCCACCACUCAGUGGUACUUCUGACCCCAGAAGGCUGAGGCCUGGGAGCCAGGCUUAGGUGUGCCGGCCGGCCGAGGUGGGACAGGUGAGUGGCAGGCGCCCUGUGCGGCUCCCUCACACCCGGCCCUCCUGGCGGCUCUCUGUCCUCAUCCACGUGUCUCCUACUUCUGCUCCUGCCAUUCCACUGCCUGUCUCGCCAGCAUCCCCUCUGUCCCUUUACCCCUCUGCUGCCUGUGUUGGGGCUCUGCCUCUUUGCUGGUCUCACCCCCCUCCCCUUUGCUGUCUGUCUGUCUGUCUCCGCCCCUCCUGAGUCCCGGUGGCCCCCGCAGCUGUGAUCGCCACGUGUGAGCCAGGCUUGCAGGGGACGAAUGCAGGCCUGCGCUGCCGCUGCCGGGAGGGCUGCGUUUGGGGGGUACCACCUAUGGGUCUUGGUGUGGGCCCCCCUGUGCCCAAGGGAGCCCCGGAAAGCCGGUGGUGCGGGUGCCCGGGAGGCAGGGUCCCCACUGGACGACCUCGUGCGCCGGCCCCGCCCCUCCCCCCGACUGCCCUGUCCCGAGGCCGCCCCGCCCCCCAGUC
ensembl:lncRNA